rnacentral:lncRNA from 1 species
AAACUGGCAGACUGUCUUUAUCACAAGCUCCAGUCAGAAAAUCAUGAGGUUGGGGAGGGUGAAGAAGAACUACUACUGGCUUCCAGGUAACAAUGAAUGAUCAGGGGAGGGUAAUUAGCAGGAAAAACACAGACAGUGUCCCA